AGGGGUACAUCCCAAGCAGAUGCGAAAGCAGAGCAUAGUGAACCGAUGGUACGCCUUAGAUGCGGCCAGAGAUUAACGGAUAUAAGUUACCCUGGGGAUAACAGGCUAGUUCCGCCCAAGCGUCCUUAGCGACGGCGGAGUUCGGCACCUCGAUGUCGGCUCACCAUAGCGCGGGGCUGGAGAAGGUCCCAAGCGUUUGGCUGUUCGCCAAUUAAAAUGGUACGCGAGCUGGGUUCAAACCGUGCAGCAACUAACAGUUGUUGGUGAUUGCACGGUUUGAACCCACGAGGAAUUGUUAGGUACGUGGAGACGUACUGUGCUUAGACAUACUCACGGCGGUCGCAUAUGGGAACAUAUGCGAAGAAAUCAACUUAUAUCGGUAGAAUCCAGUCCCGCUCUUUCUUCAAGAAAGGGCGGGAGGGCAAUACCGACGGAAUGAUUCAAUGUGAAUCGGCCGCUAGAGACUGAAUGUUGAUUGCCCCAACGUUUGAAGACAGUGGGCAAAGUUACAGUCCGAUCCCGCCAGUAAUGGCGGCGUGGCUAGAGCCUAGCGCUAUCAAGCCUAGUGCCUAGCUGCUACGUAGAUGCGUGAGACAGGUUGGUCUCCUAUCUACUACAGGCGUUGAUUCUUGAGGAGGGUCGGGGAUAGUACGAGAGGACCUCCCUGAACUGACCUCUGGUCUACCAGCUGUCCUGCCAAGGGCACCGCUGGGUAGCUAUGUCGGGUCGCGAUAACCGCUGAAAGCAUAUAAGCGGGAAACGCGCUCCAAGAUUAGGAAUCGUUAUGAGACUCGUGAGAGAUUAUCACGUUGAUAGGCUCUAGGUGGAAGCGCCGCAAGGCGCGGAGCCGAGGAGUACUAAUAUGUCCAGUCU
rnacentral:rRNA from 1 species